rnacentral:rRNA from 1 species
UAGGGAAUCUUCCACAAUGGGCGAAAGCCUGAUGGAGCAACGCCGCGUGUGUGAUGAAGGGUUUCGGCUCGUAAAACACUGUUGUAAGAGAAGAAUGACAUUGAGAGUAACUGUUCAAUGCGUGACGGUAUCUUACCAGAAAGGAACGGCUAAAUACGUGCCA